AAAAACUAGAAAAUCGUCCUGCGUUUUCUUUUUGAAUCUCAACUAAUUAGCAGGAACAUCUCGUAUAUUUGCCUCUGGUAUAUGAGAUUAUUUAAGAGGAUAUAUCGAUCAUAGUUUUGUCAAUUAAAUUUUGAUCGACGAAUAAAACUUAAUUGACUGCACUCGGAGAAGUUCUUAGGGAUAUAUUUUUGGACAGGAGUUCGAUUCUCCUCAUCUCCACCA
rnacentral:tmRNA from 1 species